CCAAGCUGCUCAGCCUGGUAUUCUGAACUUUGCCUCUGGAUCCUGACUUUUGAAUGCAUUGCAUAUUCAAAACCAGAAUAUCACUACAAUCUUGAUCUCUCUGGUGGCAUAUUAUGUAUUUUAGGUUUAUUUUGAGAGUGAUUUUUCAGGUAUGACUUGGAAGAGAUAUUUGUAGUUGGAAUAUUAGGGAAUCUUCAAAUUUCAUACACAUAUGCACAGGUACACACACACAUAGUGUACUUUUUAAAAUAGUAUAUUAAUUAAGAAGUUUUUAAAAAGUUUUUAAUGUGUCCCCUUCCCAUGUUGUCCCAGGCUCAUUAGCAAUGGUCAUUAAAAAUGAUCAAAGAGGUUGAGUGACAGCUUCCCAGGUCACCCCACAUGGGGCAAUGCUUGACAGCCUUGCGACAGCUUGCUAAGACCCACAGCCAUGUAUGUAACUCUGAAUAGUAAAUUUGGAAGCGGCUCAAUAGGAUCUAUGCACUUAAUGUCAAGACCUUAAUUUGUAAGAACUCACUCGGAGCAGGCUUGGGGGAUACGUAGAGGAAAAUAUGUCCACUGGGCUGGUGACCCCAACUCUGUUCUUAGCCGAGCAUACCAUGGCUUCCAGAGAAACCUCUGCUCAUAUCACUGCAUGGUCUCUGUGUAUGUAAGUGCAUGUGUAUGUGUCUGCAUAUGUGUGCAUGUAUGUGUAGAUUGUGUGCAUCAGAGAGCACGUGAGUUUGCUUUCACUCGGGAUGACUUGUUUCUUUUUCUUUAGGAACUGUUAAGAAACCAAGUAAAAGUCUCCUGUAAGCUUUUGGACUCCUGGAAAAACCCUUUGCUGAGGAUUGCUGAAUCCGAGAAAGGUUUGAGUGAGCUGGAAACCACAUUUUCAGAAUUCUUUAUUUCCUAGGGUGUGUUCAGGUGCUCAUGGUUCCCCAAGAGGCCUUGAUCUAGCAGGACACCACCCCUGGGUAAUUAGCCAAAUAAAACAGCCCAGACUGGGUUUGCGUUGUCUGGCAGCUCAAUGAAACCCACAGAUGGCACAGAAAAAGCUGUGUCACCCAGGAAUGAAUUCUCCUCAUCUCUAAUUACAAAGAAAGAAAAGUCACUGGAAAAAAUAAUGAACAGCUUGAAAUGUCACACAGAGCCCCAAACCACUACCUCACUUUGAAGGCAUUUCCAAGUGUAACCCAGUCUGAGAGACUGCGCCCUGCUCCAUAUGCGUGAGUACCCUACUGAGCUGGUCGGAGCUUGACCUGCACAGACAUUAACCGGUUAUCUUACCUCUCUACCAGCUCUCCUCCCAGUUUCCAGCUCAGACCCUUCAAAGGUUUCUCCCACCUGUUCUUCCUCAGUUCCCCAACAAUGUGCUUGAACGGUCUAUUUUCCCAGUUUCCCCACCAGCAGCUACAAACUGUAAGGACUGUUCUAGCCUAUCUGCUCAGCUCAGCAUUUCCUGCCUCAACUGCCACCAGCCUCUCUUCUCAGUCUGCUAGCCCAGUCCACUUUCAUCUGUCUUCUAACAGUGUUUUCUGGCUCAACUGUCUUGUCUUCUUCUGUUGGCCCAGUGCUCUUUCUCUGCCUCAGCUGUGCCUCAGCUGGCCUUUUUAUAUCCUCCCCUGUUUCCAGAAACCCAAAAGGCAACCAACACUGGCAACCAUAAGAUCAAGCAGUUCUAACAGUUAAAAAUUCUUAAAGGGCCAGAUGACAAGCAUCUGGGAUUCUUUAAAUGUCCAGCCACACAAAAUAAGUUCCACUACAGCUAGCUCUCUGAACCUGAGGUUAUGGGGCUUGGGGCAUGACUGCGCCCACAUCAACAACAUACAUGCACUCAGGAUUUCACUCUCUCAGGAGCUACAUUUCUCAGGUCUAUUUUAAAUGUCCUCCUCACUCCAGAAUCCUUGAAUACUGCCUCUUUGAUAGACCCUACCCAGUCCCCUACCUCUUCCUCAUGAGUACCUCAAUUCUGAUAUAUUGAUCCAGCUGAGACUAUGAAUCCUGCUUCAGCCAGAUAGCCAUCCAGUGCUCUGUGCCUCCUGAAGCUGCUUGUUGGCAAUCCACACUCCAGCAGCCUAGUACCUGAGCUAGAGCAUGAACUGUGGAGGGCCUUCGUUUUGUGCAAUUGUCCAAAGCCACUGGUUGGAUCAUCAUUGGCACGCAAUCUGAUGAGUAUGUUAGAUACAUGUAUGGAUGAAUGACUUCAACAGUGCUUGGUGCAAGACUGUAUUUAGGAUUAUAUACCUAAACACUCGAGCUAAAGAGAUGGCUCAGUGAGUUGAGGCACGAGCGUUGCCAAGUUGGACAAUCUGAGUUCAAUUUCUGGGACCCACAUGAUUGAAGAAGAGAUCUAAGUUCCACAAAUUGCCCUUUGACCUUCAUAUGUGUCCUGUGACAUGGGCACAACCCCACUUCUCCUCAACACAAAAUAAAUACA
rnacentral:lncRNA from 1 species